rnacentral:rRNA from 1 species
UACGUAGGCAGCGAGCGUUGUUCGGAGUUACUGGGCGUAAAGCGUGCGUAGGCGGUUUUGUAAGUUUGGUGUGAAAUCUCCCGGCUUAACUGGGAGGGUGCGCCGAAAACUGCAAGGCUGGAGUGUGGGAGAGGUAGGCGGAAUUCCUGGUGUAGCGGUGAAAUGCGUAGAUAUCAAGAGGAACACCUGAGGCGAAGGCGGGUUGCUAGGCUGACACUGACGCUGAGGAGCGAAAGCGUGGGGAGCGAACAGG